rnacentral:rRNA from 1 species
AUUGAACGCUGGCGGCAGGCCUAACACAUGCAAGUCGAGCGAGCGGCGGACGGGUGCGUAAAGUAUGGGGACUGCGCGAAAGAGGGGGAUAACUACUGGAGACGGGGGCGAAAACCGCACACAGUCGGAUAAACCAUAUGGGGUUAGCUAGUAGGUAAGGGAAUGGAUUACCUAGGCGACGAUCCCUAGCUGGGCUGCGAGGAUGAUCAGCCACACUGGGACUGAGACACGGCCCAGACUCCUACGGAGGCAGCAGUGGGGAAUAUUGCACAAUGGGCGCAAGCCUGAUGCGGCCAUGCCGCGUGUAUGAAGAAGGCCCUAGGGUUGUAAAGUACUUUCAGUCGGGAGGCGUUACCGAAAGAAGAAGCACCGGCUAACUCCGUGCCAGCAGCCGCGGUAAUUC